rnacentral:rRNA from 1 species
UGGGGAAUUUUGGACAAUGGGGGAAACCCUGAUCCAGCCAUCCAGCGUGUGCGAUGAAGGCCUUCGGGUUGUAAAGCACUUUUGGCAGGAAAGAAACGUCAUGGGUUAAUACCCCGUGAAACUGACGGUACCUGCAGAAUAAGCACCGGCUAACUACGUGCCAGCAGCCGCGGUAAUACGUAGGGUGCAAGCGUUAAUCGGAAUUACUGGGCGUAAAGCGUGCGCAGGCGGUUCGGAAAGAAAGAUGUGAAAUCCCAGAGCUCAACUUUGGAACUGCAUUUUUAACUACCGGGCUAGAGUGUGUCAGAGGGAGGUGGAAUUCCGCGUGUAGCAGUGAAAUGCGUAGAUAUGCGGAGGAACACCGAUGGCGAAGGCAGCCUCCUGGGAUAACACUGACGCUCAUGCACGAAAGCGUGGGGAGCAAACAGG